CCUACGGGAGUCAGCAGUGAGGAAUAUUGGUCAAUGGACGAGAGUCUGAACCAGCCAAGUCGCGUGAAGGAUGACUGCCCUCUGGGUUGUAAACUUCUUUUAUAUGGGAAUAAAACAGGGUGUGCAUACCCUCUUGUAUGUACCAUAUGAAUAGGGAACGGAUAACUCCGUGCCAGCAGCCGCGGUAAGACGGAGGAGUCGAGCGUUAUCCGGAUUGGUUGGGUUUAAAGGGAGCGCAGGUGGAUUGUUAAGUCAGUUGUGAAAGGUUGCGUCUCAACCGUAAAAUUGCAGUUGAAACUGGCAGUCUUGAGUACAGUAGAGGUGGGCGGAAUUCGUGGUGUAGCGGUGAAAUGCUUAGAUAUCACGAAGAAUUCCGAUUGCGAAGGCAGCUCACUGGACUGCAACUGACACUGAUGCUCGAAAGUGUGGGUAUCAAACAGGAUUAGAUACCCUUGUAGUC
rnacentral:rRNA from 1 species